UGAUGCAAACCACCAACCAGAUAACAAGAGUUCAGCAAAUGAGAGAAGCAUGGCCCCUGCGCAAGGAUGACACGCAAAUCUGCGAAGCGUUCCAUAUUUUU
rnacentral:snRNA from 1 species